AACGAACGCUGGCGGCGUGGAUAAGACAUGCAAGUCGAACGGGAUUUUAUUUGUAGCAAUACACGUACAGUCUAGUGGCGUAAGGGUGCGUAACACGUGGGCAAUCUGCCGAGAAGUGGGGGAUAGCUCGCCGAAAGGCGAAUUAAUACCGCAUGUGGUUAGUGAAGACAUCUUCGCGAUACCACAGCAGGGGCAACCUGGCGCUUCUUGAUGAGCCCGCGGCCUAUCAGCUAGUUGGUGAGGUAACGGCUCACCAAGGCUAUGACGGGUAGCUGGUCGGAGAGGACGACCAGCCACACUGGAGCUGAGACACGGUCCAGACACUUACGGGUGGCAGCAGUCGAGAAUUUUUCUCAAGGGGGGAAACCCUGAAGGAGCUACGCCGCGUGGAGGAUGAAGGUCUUCGGAUUGUAAACUCCUGUCAUUUGGGAACAAUUGUUGGCGAUUAACUGUCGUCAGCUUGAUAGUACCAGAAGAAGAAGAGACGGCUAACUCUGUGCCAGCCGCCGCAGUAACAC
rnacentral:rRNA from 1 species